rnacentral:rRNA from 1 species
AUUGAACGCUGGCGGCAGGCCUAACACAUGCAAGUCGAACGGUAACAGGAAACAGCUUGCUGUUUCUCUGACGAGUGGCGGGCGGGUGAGUAAUGUCUGGGAAACUGCCUGAUGUAGGGGGAUAUCUACUGGAAACGGUAGCUAAUACCGCAUAACUUCGCAAGACCAAAGAGGGGUACCCUCUGUCCUCUUGCCAUCUUAUGUUCCCAGCUGGGCUUCGUUUGUUGGUGGGGUUACGUCUCCCCAAGUCUGCGAUCGCUAGAUGGUCUGAGAGGAUGACAAGCGACACUGGAACUGAGACACGGACAAGACUCCUAAGGGAGGGAGCAGUGGGGAAUAUUGCACAAUGGGCGGAAGCAUGAUGCAGCCAGGCGGAGUGUAUGAAGAAGGCGUUCGGGUUGUAAAGAACGUUCAGCGGGGAGGAAGGGAGUAAAGUUAAUACCUAGGCUGAGUGACGUUACCCGCAGAAGAAGCACCGGCUAACUACGUG